AAUAGAUACCCUGGUAGUCCACCCCGUAAACGUUGGGAACUAGUUGUGGGUCCAUUCCACGGAUUCCGUGACGCAGCUAACGCAUUAAGUUCCCCGCCUGGGGAGUACGGCCGCAAGGCUAAAACUCAAAGGAAUUGACGGGGACCCGCACAAGCGGCGGAGCAUGCGGAUUAAUUCGAUGCAACGCGAAGAACCUUACCAAGGCUUGACAUACACGAGAACAACCUGGAAACAGGGGACUCUUUGGACACUCGUGAACAGGUGGUGCAUGGUUGUCGUCAGCUCGUGUCGUGAGAUGUUGGGUUAAGUCCCGCAACGAGCGCAACCCUCGUUCUAUGUUGCCAGCACGUAAUGGUGGGAACUCAUGGGAUACUGCCGGGGUCAACUCGGAGGAAGGUGGGGAUGACGUCAAAUCAUCAUGCCCCUUAUGUCUUGGGCUUCACGCAUGCUACAAUGGCCGGUACAAAGGGCUGCAAUACCGUGAGGUGGAGCAAAUCCCAAAAAGCCGGUCCCAGUUCGGAUUGAGGUCUGCAACUCGACCUC
rnacentral:rRNA from 1 species